GUCUGUGAUGCCCUUAGAUGUUCUGGGCCGCACGCGCGCUACACUGACAGAGCCAGCGAGUACUCCCUUGGCCGAAAGGCCCGGGUAAUCUUGUUAAACUCUGUCGUGCUGGGGAUAGGGCAUUGCAAUUAUUGCCCUUCAACGAGGAAUCCCUAGUAAGCGCAAGUCAUCAGCUUGCGUUGAUUACGUCCCUGCCCUUU
rnacentral:rRNA from 1 species